rnacentral:rRNA from 1 species
ACUCCUACGGGAGGCAGCAGUGGGAAUAUUGCACAAUGGGGGAAACCCUGAUGCAGCCAUGCCGCGUGUGUGAAGAAGGCCUCGGGUUGUAAAGCACUUUCAGCGAGGAGGAAAGGUUAGUAGUUAAUACCUGCUAGCUGUGACGUUACUCGCAGAAGAAGCACCGGCUAACUCCGUGCCAGCAGCCGCGGUAAUACGGAGGGUGCGAGCGUUAAUC